CCAGGCCAGGAGGAGUUCACUUUUAGAGGCUGCAGGAGCACGCUGUUUGCCACCUGGAUAUUUUCGGCGAGGGCUCGACAGAUGCUGAGUAGUGGGUGUAUCGCUUUCCUAGCGACAGUUGUGGAGGUACCUACGGCGGCGCCGAGACUCGAGGAUAUCCCUAUAGUCCGCGAGUUUCCGGAUGUGUUUCCCCCUGAGUUGACGACGUUGCCGCCGGAGAGGGAGAUUGAGUUUGUGAUUGAUGUAGUUC
rnacentral:lncRNA from 1 species